GUCGAGAAUCUUUCACAAUGGGGGCAACCCUGAUGGAGCGACGCCGCGUGGAGGAUAAGGUCUUCGGAUUGUAAACUCCUGUCAUGCGUGAACAAGGUUGCUUGGAUAAUACCUGAGCAAAUUGAUGGUAGCGCAAGAGGAAGAGACGGCUAACUCUGUGCCAGCAGCCGCGGUAAUACAGAGGUCUCAAGCGUUGUUCGGAAUCACUGGGCGUAAAGGGUGCGUAGGUGGCGUGGCAAGUCAGAUGUGAAAGCCCGGGGCUCAACCUCGGAACUGAAUCCGGUACUGCCAUGCUAGAGUACUGGAGAGGUGACUAGAAUUCUCGGUGUAGCAGUGAAAUGCGUAGAUAUCGAGAGGAAUACCAAAGGCGUAGGCAGGUCACUGGACAGUUACUGACACUGAGGCACGAAGGCCAGGGGAGCGAACGGGAUUAGAAACCCGUGUAGUCC
rnacentral:rRNA from 1 species